CACCUACUUCAUUCCUCGUCACUCAACUUUCCAUGUGGCAAUCUGGCCCAUUCCUUCUAGGAAUUCAUCUUCCUGCCUUGGUUGAGAUGUUAUAGAGGACACUGAACUGGGAGACACAAGGGAUGCAUGCUAGGCCAGCCCUGCCACACAGCCACCUCUGAAAUCGCACAUUCUCAAGCUGAAGCAGUGGAAGAUUAAGCAACUCACUUAAGCUCACCCAGCUUAAACACUGGAGUUAAGUCGUGAAGGCAUUCUGACCCCAGAGCCCAAGCACUUGACCACUGUGCCAUGCCUCCUCCAAGUAUCAACAGGGCUUGAUGGAGAACUUCAAGAGAGACCAUUCCAGGCACAGGCUACAGGCUGGAGAGGGCCAGGGCCUCCUGCAUACUGCAAAGUGUUAGUUAUGGCUGGAACCAAGAGUGACAACCAAUAAACUGUACAGGGUAACAGUGAAA